CCUCUGAGUCCUCGUUCCGCCUGAAAGGAGACUGAGGCCCUUUAGUUUCCUUCCCGCUCAGCACAGUUCUCCUCUGCUUGUUCAGAGCCAGAGCCAAUGGAGGCGGAGACUGGGAAUCAGCAUAGUCUCCGUGCAGUGCACAGAGGCACUGUCUGGAGGUGCCGACCUUGAGAACAGAACUUUGUCCCUCUUGGGUCCCUGUAAUGCAGGGCACACCUGGGACCUAUUUGGGACUUUGCAGGGACAGCUGCCGGUACCUGACAGGCCCGGAGCCUCCGGAUCAUCUGCAGGCCCAUUUGGAUGGCCCUGUUGGGGAGAGGCAGGAGGUGCAGCUGGAGGAGGUAGAGGAAGGACAGACAGCUCGUCUGCACGGAAGGAGGCAGCGCGGAUGUUUGCAGCGACAGAUGGCAGCAUCCGGCAGAGCCCUGGAAGCCGGGUGAGGAGAGGAGGGGAGGCCGGCCAGACUCCUCUGCAGCUCUCAGGCCUCCCGCACAAGCUCAGCCUGCCUGGCACACACGUGGAGAUUCUCCCCUCCCUGUGUGGCGCUAAGGCACCUUGGUGAGCUCCUCAUGGUCCACAUGGGCUGCGAGUGUGUGGGAUGGCCUGGGGCGACUGGAGAAGUCUGUUCACCUGGCCCUUUGGGAGCCAAGUGGAGGAGGCUCCAGAUCAGCCCCAGAAACCCUGUUCGCUGUUCUCAGUGAGGGCGUCUGCCACGAGACUGGGGCCAGAGGGGCCAUGUAGGGAUGAGGAGUGGCGGUGACUGGGAGGUGAGGAUGGCCAGAAAGUGCUAGUCUCCCAUCAUCCCUCUGUCUUGGUGAACUCCGCUGUAUCUUAGAAUCCUGCUUGACCCGGCUCUUCAGGAAGCUGCCCUGGCAGGCCGGGCUGAGCCUGAAGAUGCCUGGCCUGGCUCUGUGGCCUCUGUGAGCCCCGGCCCCUCCUGGCCUCAGUUCUAGCUGGAGGAAACAGGACUCCCUCCUCAUCCUGGGAAGGCGGUCUCUUCCUCUCAGCGGGACUUUGAAGAGGCCGUGAAGAACCCACAGGGCCCUGCAGCAGUGGAACCAGACACCCAGAUUCACCACCCUGGAGUCGUUCCCAGCCUAGCACAGAGCCUGGGAAACAGAUGGAGAAAGCGUAGGGUGGGAGGGCCCAACAUCCUGGGCGGCUGGGGAAAUGACAGCAGCCGGGAUCCCAGCACUUAGCAUGGGUCAGUUAACAAUGCAUCCGGCCCCACCCAGCCUGUGAGGAGCCCCUUCUGUUCCUCACGCUCACACACCUGAAACUGACUCUCUGCUGGGCUCACUUGUCCACACUGCUGCUACUACCACCGCCACAGGGCCAGGAUUAGACCCCAGACAACCUGGACCGGAAGUCCACACUCCCAUCCACGGAACUACAAAACAAAAUGAAAACCAUCUCUCCCUCUGGCAGGGAUGACGGAUAAUAGGUUUGAUGCCAUCAAGUGCUGCUGAGGUCACCUCACCACCACCACCACCACGGGGAGCCCACGUCUGAUUACCUAGGGAGCCCCAAGAGUUCGGGUCAGAGUGGAGCGAACAGCUCUUUCAUCUCAUCUGCGUUUAGGUUGCCAUGCAGGAAAGAGUCGUGCAUUGCUUUGGUUUGUAACUCAUUUAAAAGGAGAAUGGGGGCAGUGAUACAGGGACAGCAUGUGCGAGGCCCGAGUUGCAUCCUUAGCCCAUCCCCCAAACAGAUGGGGGAGUAUGUUGGGGAAAGGGAAUCAAAGAUGGACAGAAUGGAAGGCUCUCAGACAGUUGUCCCUGACCGUGACCUCCUGCAGGCUUUGUCUGGGCGAGGCCUGUUCUUUUAUUGGGCACAUAUGUAUUUUCUGGGGGCCCCUAGGUCCUCGGCUCUGUGCCGGGCUGUGUGCUCUCCCCAGGCACACCCAGGGUGUGUCCCGACAGAGGGGCUCCCCUUCUGUCCCUGUCUGGGCGCUCUGUGGUAACAAGGUCAGGGCUGCAGGGAGGAGCCAGUUCUGGCCAGAGCUCUGAUCUGUGACGGGCUGUUCCCCGGAGCAGCUGCUACAACAACAUUUACUUUGUACAGUGGCCAAGAGAGAGAGCAAGAAAAGGAAGAGAGAGAGAGAGAGAGAGAGAGAGAGAGAGAGAGAGAGAGACAGAGGGAGAGAGCACACAAGCCUACUCUAUUGCAAAAUGUUUCUGACAAAAUCUGGCACUCCUGGUUCUAAUCAAAAUACUGAACUUUGGAACAAAUUAACAUUCCACAGCCCUCACUGGGAAGGAGAAUUCAGCCGAGACGACUUCAGUUCACAACAACAAAAAUAGCUUCUCCCGGGGAAGACACAUUCUGCUAACAAGGUCACUUGUGUUUUGCUUCCCCUGCCAUCUGGCUGAGCGGCAACCAGGGGCUGGCACUGGUACCAGCGUCUUGUGUGGAGAGGGGCUGGGAACCGGGUGGUGCCGCUGAAGGCUUCUCAGCCUCCUGGCAAAGGGUGUAGGCGUGGAGUUACCUUCAGACAGUCCCAGAACUGGGGCAGAUGGAGCCCAGUCUCACCCAGCCGGGCUCAGCUUCGAGCUCCGAGCAGCAGGAGGUGUGACACCAGCACACAGCAACAAGCAGAUCUGGAGGCCAGAAGUGUGAAAUCAAGAUGUUGUCAGGGCUCUGUUCCUUCUGAGACCUUCUGAGACCUUCUUUGCCUCCUCCCAUUUUCUGGCACACCAGUCAUAUUGGAUUAAAGGCCCAAGACUCCAUUCUGACCUCAUCUUGGCUAAUUGCAUCUCCAUGACCCUAUUUCCAAAUAAGGUCACAAUCUCAGGUACUGUGAAUUGGGACUUCAGCAUCUUUUUGCAGGGUUGGUGAGGGACAUACAAUUCAAUCCACAGGCAACAAAGGAAGCCUUAGCUCUUUCUUUGUCUGAAUUUUUUCCCUCUCAUUUUGUUCUCUUAAAGAAUCAUGGCAGGGCCCAGUUCAAAGUUCACCUUCUUGGUUAUUUUUCCUGAAUAACCCAGGAGAAAUGAGUCACUUCUUUGCCUAUCUUUAUAGCCUUUUUGCAUUUCUAUUAAAGAAUCUAUCACAUUGUGUGUAACCUGAGGGCAGAAGCCACCUUAUUCACCUGGGAAUAGAGCUCAGAGUUCCUGAAUCCCAUUUAGAUCUGCUCUAUGGAGUUGAUGUUCCCUAUGGGGAUAUUCCAGUCACAUGUUCAAAACAAAACAAAACAAAAAACUGUGAGUCUGUAGAUAAAUGAAAACAAUGGGGACUCUGUAUUAUUUAGUUUUCUAUUUUAGGCAUUUUAUCACUAAGAACUACUUUGCAUAAACAGGGUUGUAUCUAAAUGUCUUCCUAUGUGAAGUUCCCAUUUUUGAUUGGCUAUAAUAUUUCAACAUGUAAAAAUAGUGUUUUAAUGUAAAUGCAGUAUAAUUGGGUUUCCCAACCUUGCACUGUUGAUAUUCUAGGCUGGAUUAUUCUUUAGCAGGGGGCUGUCUUGUGUUUUGCAGGAUGUGGAGCAGCACCCCAACCUUUAUCAAACAGAUGCUUCUAGCAUUGCUUAAUUCAGUUGCGACAACCAAAAAAUGUUAGUGUCUCCUGGUGUGUGUGUGUGGCAAAAUUACCCCUAGUUGAGAAGAAUGAGAAUAUUCAUUUAGGGGUUGGAAAUCUUAAAGUUGUAAAAAUCAUCCAAAUUUCUCUUUAUCUUGCUUUCUGUUAAAUACUUUCCUGUGUUGUAAGGCUGCUCUGCUCUGAGACCACUGGCACCGUGAGCAGAUGGCAUGACUUGGCUGUCCCCUGCUCCUGCCUCCGUGCACCUGGGACCUGUGGGUGGCCUCGUUUGCAUGGAGGAAAAAGAUAAUAUCCCUAUUUAUUACAAAGACUCAGGCAUUUGAAGGACCCAACCAAUGGUGUGACAUGUGUGGGCACAUGAACUUCACCUUGGAUGCCCCAGAAGUUUCUAGAGCUGACUUCCUUUAACUAGAAGGAAUAUGACUGUGGUCUUAGAAGAAAGACAUUACCUGGAGGAAGUUGAAAGCCAGCAUGCAGAGAAGGAAGACUACGGAAGGGCUCAGGCAGCUACACAGCUCUGCAGAACAAAAUGUUCUUGUCCAGGCCAUGGGGCCACAGGCUGGGACAGAGGGGAGGAACAAUGAUGUCAUGGAAUGAGAAGGAGUUGGGAACACUAUUGGAAUGAAUGUUCCAUUGAUUACACGAGUUGCUGACAAGCAACAGCAGAAAUGGAGCUGGGUGAUCAGUCUCAAAUUCUCCCCCUGACAUUUGCAAGAAAAGUGGUGAACACAUCCCAGACACCCACUUCCUACCCCCGUUAUGUGUAUGAGGUAAGCGAUCUGGCCUUGGACGUUAAAUCUCCUCUCUUAAUAGACUCCUGGACAUGCCAGAAUGUCUGCUGGGUCUGAAUGUCUUAUUUCAAUGCAGGCUCCCAUCUUUUUUCAGUGUGUUUAAUUAAAAAUAAAUAAAGCAGUCCAUUCGGAGGGCUUUUCCUCCCACUGAUGGAUGAGGCGAGUACUCGGGGACUCUUCAGCAGGGUGGACAGCUUGGCAAAGAUGUCUGUGUCCUAAUCUCUGGGACCCGAGAUUAUGUUACCUUCUGCGGCAAAGGGGAUUUUCCAGAUAUGAUUAAAUUAAGGGUCUUGAGCUGAAGAGAUGAUCCUGGAUUAGCUGGGUGGGUCCUCAGCAGAGGCAGGCACUUGCGGGGGAGGCUGGAGGCAGAGCAAUGAUAAAAGCAGAAGUCCGAAAACGAAAACGCAGCACAACAAACUAAGGAACACGGUGACCUCUAGACGCUGGAAGCAGCAAGGACUCGGAUUCUCCCCUUGAGCCACCAGGAGGAACACAGCCUGCAGCUGCAUCCAGACUUCUGACCUCCAGAACUGCAAGCAAAUAAAAGUAUGUGAUUUGGGGCCACCCCGUUUGUGCUCAUUCACUGCUGCCGCAGCCAGAGAAAACCAACACAGAUUUCCACGUUGAGUCUGGGUUUUCCUUUGAGGCUGUGGCUUUUCCUACUGUGAUCGUAGCUCACAGCUGCUGAGUGGGGACAAUGUGUACCAGAUGCUGAGUAGACAUCAUCUCAGUUCUCCCAGUAACCCUGUGGGCCGGGCACUGGCAUUACCCUUAUUCAGGAGAUGGAGGACUAGGCUUGCAACAGUCUGCUGUAACCAGAGGCGGUUUUGAGCCCCAGGGACACUGAGCAAUGCCUGUAGACAUUCAGAUAGUCACAACCAGGUUUGGGGUGCUCCUGGCAUCUAGUGCAGGAGAAGCCAGGGAUGAAUGACAUGUGUGUGUACACAUGUGCAUAUGGGGUGUGUAUGGGGUUGGUGUGUGGCGUGUGUGUGUGUGUCUGUGUGGUGGGGGCCAGGUUAGGGAGAACAGGGGACCUGGCCUCUGCCUCACUUUCCAUCAUGAUCUGCUCCACUGUCCCCCCAAACUGCCUACAUCAGCAAGAGAUGAGAGAGUUACCAGUGUCAUCCCCCUAAAAUUCUACUUUUUCUCACAUUGAUGUCCCCUAUUUCCUGCCCACUAUUAUUGACUGGCACCUCCUCUCUGUUCUCUUCAUGCCUCCCUCCAUCACUGCCUCAGAGCAUACUUUUCUGAUUGGAUGAGGCCCCUGCCGCCAGCUCCGGUACCGAUACAGGUCUCAGCACCAAUGUACACUGGAAAGUGGAAAGUCUGCCCCACCUGAGCAGUGGCUGAGCAGCUUGCUGUUUGCAAAGUGUCACUGCCGGAAAGAAGUGGAUGGCAAGAUGCAUCCUCUACGGGGAUCAUGACCUGACGUGGCCCUCUCGCCUGGUCACCUGGUUAGGCCAAGUCACCAGACAGUCCCUGUGUUCUCACCUGCAAAUUGGGAGUCACUUACUUGAAAUUAAGUAAGAGAUGGAGGAAUCUGUUCCUCCCUCAGAGAUGCAUGAGGUAUUGUGCCACACUGGCUCCUGGCUUCUGGUGACACUGACAUUUCUGGGAUUGUGGCUGCCUUCCUCCCAUCUCUCCCUCUCUUUGUGUGGCCUUCUCUCUCCCAUGUGUCCGAGGGUCAAAUCUCCCUCUGAUUCUCUCUUAUAAAUACUGAUGCUGUUAGGCCCUGCUGGGGUAACCCAAGAUGAUCCUGUCUCAAGAUCCUUAACUCAACUUUUGCCAUUUAAGGGAACAUUCACUCAUAGAACCCUGAAAUUAGGCAACAGAUAUCUUUGGAGGAUCAUUAUUUCAGCCUAGCACAAGGAGGUAGGUACUUUACACAUCUUUACAUUUCAUAUCAAGCCUAAGAAUAGCUAUUAGUUUUGCUGUUUCACAGAUGAGGAAAUUGAGGCUUGGAGACAUUUACUAUGGAAUUUCAGAAAGUUCAUUCCGUUUCUGAGACACCUUGCCAUUUUCAUCUAUAAAAUGAGAAUCGUGCCCUUCCUGACCUAGGCCAGAUGAAAGUAGAGAAUUUUUAUACAAAUUCUUAGCAAAGUAUUAUGCAUUACAGAGAUGCAAGGGGUUAUUUUUUGCCUUGAGUGGAUUUUCUAGAAAGUCUUCACGUGGGAGAGGAGAGAUGACUUGGCUGAGGAUUGUGAGUGAAAUGCCAAAAUAUUUCUAGAAAUCAUCAGUGUCUUAGAGUGCUGAGUCUUCAUUACAAUAGCAAGUGAAAUUCUGAUGUAGAUGCACUUUAAAACAUUCCCUGUUUGAGGAAUCAUGCCUGGAAGCCACUUCCCAAAGAGAGGCAGCAAGAAAUGCUGAAUUCUUUCAAGUUGAAAGUGGGAGAGAUGGCACAUUUUAUUCUUUAGAAUGCUCCUUCUUCGGCUCAUCCUUCUAGGCAUUCUUAACAGGUAUGUUUGAGUUUGAUUGCAUUUGCACCAGGUGCUGUUCACGUCUGUUAACUCUCUGCAGUUUCUGUCAUCUUGGUAAUAGAGAAAGGAUGGUAGGAGCAGCAAGUGAGUGAGAGGUUGCAUAGGUAAGCAGGAAAUUGACUCCAGGAAGAGAAUGGCAGGCACGACAAAGAACAUUUAGGAGGAAGCUAGACGUCUUUAUCAAAAUUGAUUUUUGACUGGACAGGCCUCUGCUCUGCAUACAUGCUAUAUUUAUACAUCUAGAUCAGAUGUGGAAAACAUGGCCACUCAGGACAGAGCCCGGCCAGCACCACAGCAGACAUCACUAAUCAAUCACAGUGACCCAGCUCUCCAGGCACCCACUGCCAGUCAAUGAGCUCUAUCUAUUGCCUAGUACUAUUGUGCUAGUAGAUAAGCCUAGGACAUAAAUUUCACUGCAUUAAUUAACUUACUUAAUUCAAAAGACUUUUUCACCUGCCGUUGUACCCAAUCUUAAGCUGCUUUUUUACUAUUUUAGUGACGCCUGGUGUGUUUGCAACCCAAUAAUACCAGCUACCAAUUGCUUGCUGUGCACCAAGCUCUGUGGAUUGAAUUCUCACAAAUCAUAGUGUUUUAGUUGACUGAACUUCAUUUGAAUAAGUGGAUUUCGGGGAAUAUGUCUGCUGAGAUACUAAACCUUGAUUGCACUGCAGUGCUGGGAUGGAACCGAGGGCCUCGUGCACAAUGGACAAGUGCUUGACCACGGAGCUCCACCUCAGUCCUUUACUGAGCCUUAGACUUUAUCUUCAUGUGCUCUCUAGACAACUCCUGUGUUAACAUUUGAGGCUUGUAUAGGCCAAGCAUCCCUAAUCUGGAAAUCAAAAGUGCUCCAAAAUCCAAAACUUUCUGAGCACUGACAUGCUGCCAUAGUGGAAGUUCAGUUCCUUGUGGCUACGGAACAGAGACCCUGUGUCGUUGCUGGCUGCUCCCCGCUCCGGGCGGCUGCCCACACUCCUUGUCACACAGUUCCUUCUGCCUUCCAGCCAGCGAUGGCACAUGGGCUCCUCGUUCUCAGAAGCUCUGACUUUUCUGUUGCUGACUUUAGAAGCCUUCAAGGGUGGUCCUGCCAAUCCCUGCCACAGCAGCAGCCGUGUUAGUGUGGUUGUAUGUACAGCCCGGGGCAGGAACUCUCACAGGCAGGCUUAGAAUUCUGCCUCCCGCAAGGCUUUUGACCUAAGUGUUAGACCAGGUCUUUUGCUGACCCUGACUUCAAAAUGUUUGAAUGCACAGUUGUGCAAGGAGUUCCCAUAUUGUGGCUGACAUUGAAGAAGAGUUGUUUAAGGUGCGACAUUCUGCAGAUCUAUGGGUACUGCCUACACUGCCUCGUGCUGUUGAUUACUGCAUUGAUGGCUUCAGAAGCUCUCCACGUGUUGAUCAAGACCUUGUUGAACCUUGACAGAGUGAUAAAUUGCAUGCUUGUUUCCCCUCAUGAUUUCGUGGCUCUUUUGAAAGACUACCCCCUUGAUGUGCCCAGGAAAAUUUCCUUUGAUGUGCUAAGUCUGGACAGUUGAGCUUUUAAGGAAUCUAAAGCAGAGAAAAUGAGUACCUGCCCAUCCUGAGGCAGGCUGGCCUCUGUGUUUUCUGCUUGUGGUGAACCUGGGCUGCAAAAAUGGUUUUUAUUCUCAGCCAUCUGGUUCCUCUCACCUGUCAAAUAGCCCAGCUCUCAGAUUCUGACACAAGAAUAAAUUGCCCCCUUGUUAUGUUAAGUAAAAGAAACUAAAGUGUGAAGGAAAACGCCUUUGAAAGAGAGGCCAAGGAAGGAGUUCCUAUUGCCAAGAUUGGUCAAAAGUGGCUGGAAAUCUCUCUCUUUCAAUGCAGCGGGUUUUGACUGGUAUAAAACAGCAUUUUCCAGCAUGUGUCUCUGGGAAACCAGUUUUAUCUGAUGAGUAAUGGGUGUGAGGAGGAAAAGAUUCUCCCGUCACACAGGUUCACCAUGCUACCUCCGUAUCAAUCUCCUGAGGUGAAAUACGAUUGGCUGUGAUCUACAAACCCAUGUAGGGGCUGAUGCUCCUCUGGUUUCCUGUGAAAGAAAUAUUUACAAGAUAAGGGAUCCAAGGAGCACACUUCAGGAAGGGCAGCGUUGAAGGAUAGCUAUGACUUUGAGAAAGUAGGCAUGGGCAGUUGGCGAAUCUGUGUCGCCAAUCCACAGAUGAACCCGUCUCCACAUUUGAGGAGGAACAGAGUCGGAUUGUAGAUGCACACUUGGUGUGUCUUAAAUAUUUCUCAGUAAAAUUAUUUCUUACACUCUUUAUUGACUAUUGAUAUCAUUCUCAGUUUGAGGGUCCCCAAAGUAACCUCAGAGCCUUCAGUAAUAAUUUUCUAUCUAGAGAAUGGUGAAGAGAAUGAAAUGAAUAUUUUGAUUAUGACAUGGGUGCUUUUGGUAUCUUUAUCCUAUUUAAAUUUUGCAAUAACCCUGCUGAUGUAAGGGCUACGACCUGCAGCUCAUAAAUGAAGAUGUGGAAGAUCAGAGAGGUUAAGCAGUUUGCAGAAGGUCACACAGCCUGUAAGUGCCAGCAGGCAUUUGGAGCCAGGAACCCCUGACUUCAAGGCCCCUCCUCUUUCUCAUAUACCACUCUGUUCUUCUGCCCUCAUCAAUGGUAUAUUUUAAUUUGUGUGAUGAGCGAGUGCACUAAAAGUUGGAUGCAGCUCCACCAUUUCAAACUGUUUUAUUUUCCAU
rnacentral:lncRNA from 1 species